GGAAACAUUUCAUUGAGGCUUCGGCGGAUUUGAUCUGUUUCUAGUGGCGGACGGGUGAGUAACGCGUGGGUAACCUGCCUUAUACUGGGGGAUAACAGCCAGAAAUGGCUGCUAAUACCGCAUAAGCGCACAGAACCGCAUGGUUCGGUGUGAAAAACUCCGGUGGUAUAAGAUGGACCCGCGUUGGAUUAGCUAGUUGGCAGGGCAGCGGCCUACCAAGGCGACGAUCCAUAGCCGGCCUGAGAGGGUGAACGGCCACAUUGGGACUGAGACACGGCCCAGACUCCUACGGGAGGCAGCAGUGGGGAAUAUUGCACAAUGGGGGAAACCCUGAUGCAGCGACGCCGUGUGAAGGAAGAAGUAUCUCGGUAUGUAAACUUCUAUCAGCAGGGAAGAUAAUGACGGUACCUGACUAAGAAGCCCCGGCUAACUACGUGCCAGCAGCCGCGGUAAUACGUAGGGGGCAAGCGUUAUCCGGAUUUACUGGGUGUAAAGGGAGCGUAGACGGCGCAGCAAGUCUGAUGUGAAAGGCAGGGGCUUAACCCCUGGACUGCAUUGGAAACUGCUGUGCUUGAGUGCCGGAGGGGUAAGCGGAAUUCCUAGUGUAGCGGUGAAAUGCGUAGAUAUUAGGAGGAACA
rnacentral:rRNA from 1 species